GACGAACCGUGCGAACGUUAUUCGGAAUCACUGGGCUUAAAGGGCGCGUAGGCGGGCCUGAAAGUCAGGGGUGAAAGCCCCCAGCUUAACUGGGGAAGUGCCUCUGGUACUUCAGGCCUCGAGGGAGGUAGGGGCGUGCGGAACUUCCGGUGGAGCGGUGAAAUGCGUAGAUAUCGGAAGGAACGUCGGUGGCGAAAGCGGCGCGCUGGACCUCUUCUGACGCUGAGGCGCGAAAGCCAGGGGAGCGAACGGG
rnacentral:rRNA from 1 species